AAAAAAAAACCGGAACAACAUUAGACUACUUAGUUGCGCCCUAACAGUAUAACUUUGCAACGAGUACUUAUUCUCAUUUUAUCGAACAAAGCGUCAAACCUAAUUAUAUUGAUUUAUUAUGCCCAGAGAGUGUAAAUUUGGAACGAAUCAAUGUCAGCGCUCACAGGAACAAAAACCGGAACAACAAUAGACUGCUUAGUUGCGCCAUAACAGUAUAACUUUGCAACGAGUGCUUUUUCUCAUUUUAUCGAAAAAGCGCAAAUUUAAUUAUAUUGUUCUAUAAUGCCCAGAGAGUGUAAAAUUUGGAACGAAUCGAUGUCAACGCUCACAAGAACAAAAACCGGAACAACAUCAGACUACUCAGUUGCGCCAUAACAGUAUAACUUUGCAACGAGUGCUUUUUCUCAUUUUAUCGAAGAAAAAGAGUAAAACAUAAUUAUAUUGUUCUAUUAUGCCCAGAGAGUGUAAAUUUGGAACGAAUCGAUGUCAACGCUCGCAAGAACAAAAACCGAAACAACUUUAGACUACUCAGUUGCGCAAUAACAGUAUAACAUUGCAACGAGUGAUUUUUCUCAUUUUAUCGAAGAAAGCGUAAAACCUAAUUAUAUUUUUCUAUUAUGACCAGAGAGUGUAAAUUUGGAACGAAUCGAUGUCAACGCUCACAAGAACAAAAAUCGGAACAACAUUAGACUACUCAGUUGCUCCAUAACAGUAUAACUUUGCAACGAGUACUUUUUCUCAUUUUAUCGAAGAAAACGCAAAAUCUAAUUAUAUUGUUCUAUUAUGCCCAGAGAGUGUAAAUUUGGAACGAAUCGAUGUCAACGCUCACAUGAACAAAAAUCGGGACAACAUUAGACUACUGAGUUGCGCCCUAACAGUAUAAAUUUGCAACGAGACCUUUUUCUCAUUUUAUCGAAGAAAGCAUCAAACCUAAUUAUAUUGUUCUAUUAUGCCCAGACAGUGUAAUUUUGGAACGAAUCGAUGUCAACGCUCACAAGAAUAAAAACCGGAACAACAUUAGACUACUCAGUCGCGCCCUAACAGUAUAACUUUGCAACGAGUACUUUUUCUCAUUUUAUCGAACAAAGCGUCAAACCUAAUUAUAUUGAUUUAUUAUGCCCAGAGAGUGUAAAUUUAGAACGAAUCGAUGUCAACGCUCACAAGAACAAAAACCGGAACAACAAUAGACUACUUAGUUGCGCCAUAACAGUAUAACUUUGCAACGAAUGCUUUUUCUCAUUUUAUCGAAAAAGCGCAAAUUUAAUUAUAUUGUUCUAUAAUGCCCAGAGAGUGUAAAAUUUGGAACGAAUCGAUGUCAACGCUCACAAGAACAAAAACCGGAACAACAUGAGACUACUCAGUUACGCCCUAACAGUAUAAAUUUGCAACGAGCACUUUUUCUCAUUUUAUCGAAGAAAGCAUUAAACCUAAUUAUAUUGUAAUAUUAUGCCCAGAGGGUGUAAAUUUGGAACGAAUCGAUGUCAACGCUCACAAGAACAAAAACCGGAACAACAUUAGACUACUCAGUUGCGCCAUAACAGUAUAAUUUUGCAACGAGUGCUUUUCUCAUUUCAUCGAAGAAAGCGCAAAUCUAAUUAUAUUGUUCUAUUAUGCCCAGAGAGUGUAAAUUUGGAACGAAAUCGAUGUCAACGCUCACAAGAACAAAAACAGGAACAACAUUAGACUACUCAGUUGCGCCCUUACAGUAUAACUUUGCAACGAGUACUUUUUCUCAUUUUAUCGAAGAAAGCGUAAAACCUAAUUGUAUUCUUCUAUUAUGCCCAGAGAGUGUAAAUUUGGAACGAAUCGAUGUCAACGUUCACAAGAACAAAAACCGGAACAACAUUAGACUACUCAGUUGCGCCCUAACAGUAUAACUUUGCGACGAGUACUUUUUCUCAUUCUAUCGAACAAAGAGUAAAACAUAAUUAUAUUGUUCUAUUAUGCCCAGAGAGUGUAAAUUUGGAACGAAUCGAUGUCAACGCUCGCAAGAACAAAAACCGAAACAACUUUAGACUACUCAGUUGCGCAAUAACAGUAUAACAUUGCAACGAGUGAUUUUUCUCAUUUUAUCGAAGAAAGCGUAAAACCUAAUUAUAUUUUUCUAUUAUGACCAGAGAGUGUAAAUUUGGAACGAAUCGAUGUCAACGCUCACAAGAACAAAAAUCGGAACAACAUUAGACUACUCAGUUGCGCCCUAACAGUAUAACUUUGCAACGAGUACUUAUUCUCAUUUUAUCGAACAAAGCGUCAAACCUAAUUAUAUUGAUUUAUUAUGCCCAGAGAGUGUAAAUUUGGAACGAAUCAAUGUCAGCGCUCACAGGAACAAAAACCGGAACAACAAUAGACUGCUUAGUUGCGCCAUAACAGUAUAACUUUGCAACGAGUGCUUUUUCUCAUUUUAUCGAAAAAGCGCAAAUUUAAUUAUAUUGUUCUAUUCUGCCCAGAGAGUGUAAAUUUGGAACGAAUCGAUGUCAACGCUCACAAGAAAAAAAACCAGAACAACAUUAGACUACUCAGUUGCGACAUAACAGUAUAACUUUGCAACGAGUACUUUUUCUCAUUUUAUCGAAGAAAACGCAAAAUCUAAUUAUAUUGUUCUAUUAUGCCCAGAGAGUGUAAAUUUGGAACGAAUCGAUGUCAACGCUCACAUGAACAAAAAUCGGGACAACAUUAGACUACUGAGUUGCGCCCUAACAGUAUAAAUUUGCAACGAGACCUUUUUCUCAUUUUAUCGAAGAAAGCAUCAAACCUAAUUAUAUUGUUCUAUUAUGCCCAGACAGUGUAAUUUUGGAACGAAUCGAUGUCAACGCUCACAAGAAUAAAAACCGGAACAACAUUAGACUACUCAGUCGCGCCCUAACAGUAUAACUUUGCAACGAGUACUUUUUCUCAUUUUAUCGAAGAAAGCGUCAAACCUAAUUAUAUUGUUCUAUAAUGCCCAGAGAGUGUAAAUUUGGAACGAAUCGAUAUCAACACUCACAAAAAUAAAAACCGGAACAACAUUUGAGUACUCAGUUGUGCCUCUAACAGGUAUAACUUUUUGCAACCAGUACUUUAUUCUCAUUUUUUUGAAGUAAGCGGCCAAAACUAAUUUAUAUUGUAUUCUAUUUAGCCCCAGAGAGCUUGUAAAUUUCUGGAACGAAUUGAUGUCAACGCUCCACAAGAACAAAAACUGGAACAAAAUUAGGCUACUUAGUUGCGCCCUAACAGUAUAACUUUGCAACGAGUGCUUUUUCACAUUUUAUCGAAGAAAGCGUCAAACCUAAUUAUAUUGCUCUAUAAUGCCCAGAGAGUGUAAAUUUGGAACGAAUCGAUAUCAACACUCACAAAAAUAAAAACCGGAACAACAUUUGAGCACUCAGUUGUGUGCCCUUAACAGGUAUAACUUUUGCAACCAGUACUUUUUCUUCAUUUUAUCGAAAGUAAUGCGUCAAAACUAAUUUAUAUUAUGUCUCUUUUACGCCCAGAAGAGAGUAAAUCUGGAACGGAAUCGAUGUCAACGCUCACAAGAACAAAAACUGGAACAAAAUUAGGCUACUUAGUUGCGCCCUAACAGUAUAACUUUGCAACGAGUGCUUUUUCACAUUUUAUCGAAGAAAGCGUCAAACCUAAUUAUAUUGCUCUAUAAUGCCCAGAGAGUGUAAAUUUGGAACGAAUCGAUAUCAACACUCACAAAAAUAAAAACCGGAACAACAUUUGAGUACUCAGUUGCGCCUUAACAGUAUAACUUUGCAACCAGUACUUUUUCUCAUUUUAUCGAAGUAAGCGUCAAACCUAAUUAUAUUAUUCUAUUAUGCCCAGAGAGUGUAAAUUUGGAACGAUUCGAUGUCAACGCUCACAAGAACAAAAACCGGAACAACAUUAGACUCUUCAGUUGCACCCUAACAGUAUAACUUUGCAACGCGUACUUUUUCUCGUUUUAUCGAAGAAAGCGUAAAAUCUAAUUAUAUUGUUGUAUUAUGCCCAGAUAGUGUAAAUUUGGAACGAAUCGAUGUCAACGCUCACAAGAACAAAAACCGGAACAACAUUAGAGCACUCAGUUCCGCCAUAACAGUAUAACUUUGCAACGAGUGCUUUUUUUCAUUUUAUCGAAGAAAGCGUAAAACCUAGUUAUAUUAUUCUAUUAUGCCCAGAGAGUGUAAAUUUGGAACGAAUCGAUUUCAACGCUCACAAGAACAAAAACCGGAACAACAUUAGACUACUCAGUUGCGCCCUAACAGUAUAACUUUGCAACGAGUACUUUUUCUCAUUUAUCGAAGAAAGCGUCAAACCUAAUUAUAUUGUUCUAUCUUGCCCAGAGAGUGUAAAUUUGGAACGAAUCGAUGUCAAAGCUCACAAGAACAAAAAUCGGAUCAAUAUUAGACUACUCAGUUGCGCCCUAACAGUAUAACUUUGCAACGAGUGCUUUUUCUCAUUUUAUCGAAGAAAGCGUAAAUCUAAUUAUAUUGUUCUAUUAUACCUAGAGAGUGUAAAAUUGGAACGAACUGAUGUGAGCGCUCACAAGAACAAAAACCGGAUCAAUAUUAGACUACUCAGUUCCGCCCUAACAGUAUAACUUUGCAACGAGUACUUUUUCUCAUUUAUCGAAGAAAGCGUCAAACCUAAUUAUAUUGUUCUAUUAUGCCCAGAGAGUGUAAAUUUGGAACGAAUCGAUUUUAAAGCUCACAAGAACAAAAACCGGAACAAUAUUAGACAACUCAGUUGCGCCCGAACAGUAUAACUUUGCAACGAGUGCUUUUUCUCAUUUUAUCGAAGAAAGCGUCAAACCUCAUUAUAUUGUUCUAUUAUGCCGAGAGAGUGUAAAUUUGGAACGAAUCGAUGUCAACGCUCACAAGAACAAAAACCGGAACAACAUUAGACUCUUCAGUUGCACCCUAACAGUAUAACUUUGCAACGCGUACUUUUUCUCGUUUUAUCGAAGAAAGCGUAAAAUCUAAUUAUAUUGUUGUAUUAUGCCCAGAUAGUGUAAAUUUGGAACGAAUCGAUGUCAACGCUCACAAGAACAAAAACCGGAACAACAUUAGAGCACUCAGUUCCGCCAUAACAGUAUAACUUUGCAACGAGUGCUUUUUUUCAUUUUAUCGAAGAAAGCGUAAAACCUAGUUAUAUUAUUCUAUUAUGCCCAGAGAGUGUAAAUUUGGAACGAAUCGAUUUCAACGCUCACAAGAACAAAAACCGGAACAACAUUAGACUACUCAGUUGCGCCCUAACAGUAUAACUUUGCAACGAGUACUUUUUCUCAUUUUAUCGAAGAAAGCGUAAAAUCUAAUUAUAUUGUUCUAUUAUUCCCAGAUAGUGUAAAUUUGGAACGAAUUGAUGUCAACGCUCACAAGAACAAAAACCGGAACAACUUUAGACUACUCAGUUGCGCCUAACAGUAUAACUUUGCAACGAGUACUUUUUCUCAUUUUAUCGAAGAAAGCGUCAAAACUAAUUAUAUUGUUCUAUUACGCCCAGAGAGUGUAAAUUUGGAACGAAUUGAUGUCAACGCUCACAAGAACAAAAACUGGAACAAAAUUAGGCUACUUAGUUGCGCCCUAACAGUAUAACUUUGCAACGAGUGCUUUUUCACAUUUUAUCGAAGAAAGCGUCAAACCUAAUUAUAUUGCUCUAUAAUGCCCAGAGAGUGUAAAUUUGGAACGAAUCGAUAUCAACACUCACAAAAAUAAAAACCGGAACAACAUUUGAGUACUCAGUUGCGCCUUAACAGUAUAACUUUGCAACCAGUACUUUUUCUCAUUUUAUCGAAGUAAGCGUCAAACCUAAUUAUAUUAUUCUAUUAUGCCCAGAGAGUGUAAAUCUGGAACGAAUCGAUGUCAACGCUCACAAGAACAAAAACCGGAACAACAUUAGACUACUCAGUUGCGCCAUAACAAUAUAACUUUGCAACGAGUACUUUUUCUUAUUUUAUCGAAGAAAGCGUAAAUCCUAAUUAUAUUAUUCUAUUAUGCCCAGAGAGAGUAAAUUUAGAACCAAUCGAUGUCAACGCUCACAAGAACAAAAAUCGGAACAACAAUAGACUACUCAGUUGCACCCUAACAGUAUAACUUUACAACGAGUGCUUUUUCUCAUUUUAUCGAAGAAGGCGUCAAACCUAAUUAUAUUGUUCUAUUAUUCCGAGAAAGUGUAAAUUUGGAACGAAUCGAUGUCAAAGCUCACAAGAACAAAAACCGGAACAAUAUUGGACUACUCAGUUGCGCCCUAACAGUAUAACUUUGCAACGAGUGCUUUUUCCCAUUUUAUCGAAGAAAGCGUAAAUGCUAAUUAUAUUGUUCUAUUAUGCCCAGAGAGUGUAAAUUUGGAACGAACCGAUGUCAGCGCUCACAAGAACAAAAACCGGAACAACAUUAGACUAAUCAGUUGCGCCCGAACAGUAUAAUUUUGCAACGAGUGAUUUUUCUCAUUUUAUCGAAGAAAGCGUCAAACCUAAUUAUAUUGUUCUAUUAUGCCCAGAGAGUGUAAAUUUGGAACGAAUCGAUGUCAACGCUCACAUGAACAAAAAUCGGGACAACAUUAGACUACUGAGUUGCGCCCUAACAGUAUAAAUUUGCAACGAGACCUUUUUCUCAUUUUAUCGAAGAAAGCAUCAAACCUAAUUAUAUUGUUCUAUUAUGCCCAGACAGUGUAAUUUUGGAACGAAUCGAUGUCAACGCUCACAAGAAUAAAAACCGGAACAACAUUAGACUACUCAGUCGCGCCCUAACAGUAUAACUUUGCAACGAGUACUUUUUCUCAUUUUAUCGAAGAAAGCGUCAAACCUAAUUAUAUUGUCUAUUAUGACCAGAGAGUGUAAAUUUGGAACGAAUCGAUGUCAACGCUCACAAGAACAAAAACCGGAAGAAAAUUAGACCACUUAGUUGCGCCCUAACAGUAUAACUUUGCAACGAGUACUUUUUCUCAUUUUAUCGAAUAAAGCGUAAAACCUAAUUAUAUUGUUCUAUUAUGCCCAGAGAGUGUAAAUUUGGAACGAAUCGAUGUCAACGCUCACAAGAACAAAAACCGGAAUAACUUUAGACUACUCAGUUGCGCCAUAACAAUAUAACUUUGCAA
rnacentral:lncRNA from 1 species